rnacentral:rRNA from 1 species
CCUACGGGUGGCAGCAGUAGGGAAUAUUGCCCAAUGGGGGAAACCCUGAUGCAGCAACGCCGCGUGAGUGAUGAAGUAUUUCGGAAUGUAAACCUCUAUCGUCAGAGAAGAAAAUGACGGUACCUGAUUAAGAAGCACCGGCUAACUACGUGCCAGCAGCCGCGGUAAUACGUAGGGGGCAAGCGUUAUCCGGAUUUACUGGGUGUAAAGGGAGCGUAGACGGCAGAGCAAGUCUGGAGUGAAAUGCCGUGGCUUAACCCCGGCACUGCAUUUGAAACUGUGCAUCUAGAGUGCAGGAGAGGUAGGUGGAAUUCCUAGUGUAGCGGUGAAAUGCGUAGAUAUGAGGAGGAAUACCAGUGGCGAAGGCGGCUUACUGGACUGUAACUGACGCUGAGGCUCGAAAGCGUGGGGAGCAAACAGGAUUAGAUACCCGAGUAGUC